UACGUAGGGUGCAAGCGUUGUCCGGAAUUAUUGGGCGUAAAGAGCUCGUAGGUGGCCUGUCGCGUCGGCUGUGAAAACUCGGGGCUCAACUCCGAGCUUGCAGUCGAUACGGGCAGGCUAGAGUUCGGCAGGGGAGACUGGAAUUCCUGGUGUAGCGGUGAAAUGCGCAGAUAUCGGGAGGAACACCGGUGGCGAAGGCGGUUCUCUGGGCCUUACCUGACGCUGAGGAGCGAAAGCGUGGGAGCGAACAGGAU
rnacentral:rRNA from 1 species